rnacentral:rRNA from 1 species
UACAGAGGUCUCAAGCGUUGUUCGGAUUCAUUGGGCGUAAAGGGUGUGUAGGUGGCGCCGUAAGUCGGGUGUGAAAUUUCGGAGCUUAACUCCGAAACUGCAUUCGAUACUGCGGUGCUUGAGGACUGGAGAGGAGACUGGAAUUUACGGUGUAGCAGUGAAAUGCGUAGAUAUCGUAAGGAAGACCAGUGGCGAAGGCGGCCAUCUGGGACAACACUGACGCUGAAGCACGAAAGCGUGGGGAGCAAACAGG